UACGGAGGGUGCAAGCGUUAUCCGGAUUUAUUGGGUUUAAAGGGUCCGUAGGCGGACUCGUAAGUCAGUGGUGAAAUCUCAUAGCUUAACUAUGAAACUGCCAUUGAUACUGCGGGUCUUGAGUAAAGUAGAAGUGGCUGGAAUAAGUAGUGUAGCGGUGAAAUGCAUAGAUAUUACUUAGAACACCAAUUGCGAAGGCAGGUCACUAGGUUUUAACUGACGCUGAUGGACGAAAGCGUGGGGAGCGAACAGG
rnacentral:rRNA from 1 species